UACGGAGGGUGCAAACGUUGCUCGGAAUCAUUGGGCGUAAAGCGCACGUAGGCGGACAGCUAAGUCGGAUGUGAAAGCCCUCGGCUUAACCGAGGAAGUGCAUUCGAAACUGACGGUCUUGAGUAUGGAAGAGGGUCGCGGAAUUCCCGGUGUAGAGGUGAAAUUCGUAGAUAUCGGGAGGAACACCGGUGGCGAAGGCGGCUCGCUGGGCCAGUUCUGACACUCAUCCGCGAAAGCGUGGGGAGCAAACAGG
rnacentral:rRNA from 1 species